UACGGAGGAUGCGAGCGUUAUCCGGAUUUAUUGGGUUUAAAGGGUGCGCAGGCGGGAGUUUUAAGUUCAGCGGUGGAAAUUUUACUAGGCUCAACCUGAACACUGCCGUUGAAACUGGGAUUCUUGAGUAUGGAUGAAGUAGGCGGAAUUCGUUGUGUAGCGGUGACAUGCUUAGAUAUAACGAGGAACUCCGAUUGCGUAGGCAGCUUACUAAGCCAUAACUGACGCUCAAGCACGAAAGCGUGGGGAUCAAACAGGAUUAGAUACCCGGGUAGU
rnacentral:rRNA from 1 species